GCUAACACUAGCCCCAAACAUAACCAACCCUAAUACUAAACUCAACAUAUACUAAACCAUUUACCUACAUAAAGUAUAGGCGAUAGAAAUUUUAACCUGGCGCUAUAGACACAGUACCGUAAGGGAAAGAAUAAAACCACCCAAGCAUAAAAUAGCAAGAAUUAACCCCUGUACCUUUCGCAUAAUGGAUUAACUAGAAAUACUUUCGCAAAGAGAAUUAAAGCUAAAUUCCCCCGAAAUCAGACGAGCUACCCAAAAACAGCUAAAAGAGCGCACCCAUCUAUGUGGCAAAAUAGUGGGAAGAUUUAUGGGUAGAGGUGACAAGCCUACCGAGCCUGAUGAUAGCUGGUUAUCCAAGAUAGAAUCUUAGUUCAACCUUGAGCUUACCUAUAGAACUACUUAAUCCCCUUGUAAACUCAAUUGUUAGUCCAAAGAGGGACAGCUCUUUAGACACUAGGAAAAAACCUUAUAGAGAGAGUAAAGAACCACAAUCACCAUAGUCGGCCCAAAAGCAGCCAUCAAUUAAGAAAGCGUUCAAGCUCAACAUUAACCACCCAAAAAAUUCCAAACAUAUAACCGAACUCCUCAUAUCACAUUGGAUUAAUCUAUCACUACAUAGAGGCAAUAAUGUUAAUAUAAGUAACAUGAACACUUUCUCCACUGCAUAAGCCUAAAUCAGACCGAAAACCUCACUGAUACUUAACAGCCCAGUAUUAACAAAUAUAAACAAGCCAAUACCCCCCCCACUGUUAAUCCAACACAGGCGUGCCCUAAGGAAGGUUAAAAAAAGUAAAAGGAACUCGGCAAACUUAACCCCCGCCUGUUUACCAAAAACAUCACCUCUAGCAUUACUAGUAUUAGAGGCACUGCCUGCCCAGUGACACACGUUUAACGGCCGCGGUACCCUGACCGUGCAAAGGUAGCAUAAUCACUUGUUCUUUAAAUAGGGACUCGCAUGAAUGGCAUCACGAGGGUUUAACUGUCUCUUACUUUUAACCAGUGAAAUUGACCUGUCCGUGAAGAGACGGACAUGAAAUAAUAAGACGAGAAGACCCUGUGGAGCUUCAAUUUACCAGUACAACUAAAGACCACACAGACCUACCGGUUCCUAAACUCUCAUACCUGUGCUAAAAAUUUUGGUUGGGGCGACCUCGGAGCACAACCAAACCUCCGAAAAAUCCAUGCUAAGACUACACAAGCCUAAGCAAAUUAAUACCUACAAUUGACCCAAUAAUUUGAUCAACGGAACAAGUUACCCCAGGGAUAACAGCGCAAUUCUAUUCUAGAGUCCAUAUCGACAAUAGAGUUUACGACCUCGAUGUUGGAUCAGGACAUCCUAAUGGUGCAGCAGCUGUCAAGGGUUCGUUUGUUCAACGAUUAAAGUCCUACGUGAUCUGAGUUCAGACCGGAGCAAUCCAGGUCGGUUUCUAUCUAUUCUACAUUUCUCCCUGUACGAAAGGACAAGAGAAAUAAGGCCCACUUUACAGCAGCGCCCUCACCACAUAAAUGAUCUAAUCUUAAUCUAACAAAAUACCCCACACCCCACCCAAGAACAGGGUUU
rnacentral:rRNA from 1 species